CUACGGGAGGCAGCAGUAAGGAAUAUUGCGCAAUGGAGGCAACUCUGACGCAGCCAUGCCGCGUGCAGGAAGAAGGCCUUAUGGGUCGUAAACUGCUUUUAUUUAGGAAUAAACCCCCGAACGUGUUCGGGGCUGAAGGUACUAAACGAAUAAGCACCGGCUAACUCCGUGCCAGCAGCCGCGGUAAUACGGAGGGUGCAAGCGUUAUCCGGAUUUAUUGGGUUUAAAGGGUGCGCAGGCGGGCUAUUAAGUCAGUGGUGAAAUCCCGGGGCUCAACUCCGGAACUGCCAUUGAUACUGAUAGUCUUGAGUUUGGUUGAAGUGGGCGGAAUGUAGCAUGUAGCGGUGAAAUGCAUAGAUAUGCUACAGAACACCAAUCGCGAAGGCAGCUCACUAAGCCAAAACUGACGCUCAUGCACGAAAGUGUGGGGAUCAAACAGGAUUAGAUACCCUAGUAGUC
rnacentral:rRNA from 1 species